rnacentral:lncRNA from 1 species
GUUUAUAAGAUGCUGUUGGCAGUAGCUGGAUUUCUCAGCGCUGAACACUUGAGCUGGGCAUGGUGGGAGCGGCUGGUUAGCCAUUUGUCAGGCAAAGUCAAAACAGCCCUCCAGCUACAGCACAGACGGCAGUCUGCAGCUCGUCAGCAUUUUAUUUAUGACUCUUAAUUAGCAAGCAAAAAAGGAGGGAAGAAGUUCCCAGUUUGGGAUAUACAUACUUAUACAUACAUAUUUUGCCCAGAAAUUAUCUUUGUCAAAAUAAUUUAAAUCCUUACAACCCUGGGAUGUAGAUAUUAUAAUUUACAUUUUAUAGACAGGAAAUUCCAUCCUGCAAGGUUUUUGUUUUUUAAGUCCUGUGAAAUCCAAAGGACAAAGUGUGUCUAUUUAUUCUCAAGGAUUCCAAGCCUCACUAAAGGAUGAACUGGAAGGCCACAGCUUCCAAACCCUCUGAGGAGGUGUGGUUGGCAUUGUGGAGAUGGCCAGUAUUUCUGGUUCUCUCCUCCUGCAGGGACAUGAAAAGAUCGCACUUCUCCAUCCCCCUGAAGGGUUUGAGCAACCCACCAGGGCAGCAGUACUCUGCCACCAGGGCAUCCAGCAUCAUGGAGCCUCAGAGAACACUGCUGCUCCUUCUUUUGCAUGGAGAAAGGGGCAAAAGCAUAAGAAGAUGUUCUAGGUUCACUGAUACUUUCCAGCCCCCACCCUGGAAUCAGCCAUUGGCCAUUUCUCCAAGGACCCCUGGCUUCUUUUAGUGCAGGAUGGUAUUUAGAAACCAACAUCUG